rnacentral:rRNA from 1 species
GUCGAACGGUAACAGGCCUUCGGGCGCUGACGAGUGGCGGACGGGUGAGUAACGCGUAGGAAUCUGCCUUAUAGUGGGGGACAACGUGGGGAAACCCACGCUAAUACCGCAUACGCCCUACGGGGGAAAGCGGGGGAUCGUAAGACCUCGCGCUAUGAGAUGAGCCUGCGUUAGAUUAGCUAGUUGGUAGGGUAAAGGCCUACCAAGGCGACGAUCUAUAGCUGGUCUGAGAGGACGAUCAGCCACACUGGGACUGAGACACGGCCCAGACUCCUACGGGAGGCAGCAGUGGGGAAUAUUGGACAAUGGGCGCAAGCCUGAUCCAGCAAUACCGCGUGUGUGAAGAAGGCCUUAGGGUUGUAAAGCACUUUCAAUGGGGAGGAAAACCUGCCGGUCAAUACCCGGUAGCUUGACAUUACCUAUAGAAGAAGCACCGGCUAACUCCGUGCCAGCAGCCGCGGUAAUACGGAGGGUGCGAGCGUUAAUCGGAAUUACUGGGCGUAAAGCGUGCGUAGGCGGCUCGUUAAGUCAGAUGUGAAAGCCCUGGGCUCAACCUGGGAACUGCAUUUG